UUUUUAACCAUCAAAACCUAUCAAAGUAUUUGAAAUAUAUGAUUGAAUAGGAUAAAGAGUUUAAUUUUGUAACCAUCGUUGAAGUUUCAUAAUGAAUACAAGUUUUAUUUUAUGUCCUCGGGUUAGUCAAUUACAUUAAAAGUUGGUUGAAUGGAGCAAAAUCAUUAAAAUGUUUCCCCCCUAGAAAGAUAAAUCAAGCAAUAUGCAUGGUUAUGAACAUAAUAAUCUCAAAAGAAAGAUGGUAGAUGAAAAGAAAUUUGUUGUGCAGUGUCAUAGAUGAUUCAAAUGGAGGUACAUACCAACAAAGGAGAGGUAUGAAAAAUUAACAGCACAUUUAUUAGAUCAUCCCUUCUUAUAUGAAGGCUCUCAUUAGAGACAUCUAUAUAUGAUUGGACGAUACACAUGAGAUCACUCAAAAAGAAAGAAAAUUGUGGGCUUUUGAUAAGCCCAGUAUUCCACAAUUAGGUUUCAAGUUGAAUGACAUCAUGUGUAAUAUCAGAUGAUAUAUUAGAACGCCACUCAUGAGUGUCUUCACAACAAAAGGUUUGCAGGUUCAAUAUCAUGCAUAUUAUUUUGGUCUAUCUUUCUAGGAGUGAAAACUCCUAUGACCAAACUCUUAUUGCAAUUAAUCAACCCGAGGACAAAAAAUAUAAUUUGUAUUCAAUAGGAAAUUCCGCCGACAAUUAAAAGUGACACAACAUAAAAAAGUCUAUUAUCCUAUUUAAUCAUAUAUCUUGAUAAAAUAAAUGUGUUUAUAAUAAAAGUAGAACCGAUAUAUAAAUAUAUUAUAAGAGUUUAUAACGUAGCAUUAGCUAAAAGAUCUCAUAGCUCCUAAAUCCUAACAGAUCCCAUAGCUCCUAAAUUCUAACACAUCCUGUAGCUCCUAAAUUCAGACAGAUUUCUACAAAAUUUAAGAAUUCAUAAUAAAUCUAACCAUUUCUCUUGGCAGUGAACUACACAGUACCACCAAAGCUUCAGAUCUAUCUCCUCCAGAACAAAUUUAAAACUAUAAUAAUUUGGAUGUCUCUGUUAUGGACAUAAACCAACAAAAAUAGAAUGAAGACUUGUAAAGAUAUAGAAGCUUAAUGUAGUAGUUUAAUCAUGAAAGUGUACAUAGGUGUGAUAAGAUAUCAAAAUUUAAGACUUUCAUGAUACUACUUGUGCAUAUCAGAACAUGUCCAAAAUGAAAUCCAAACUCUAGUAUUUUAAGGACAAACUUAGGGUUAGAGUUACUUGAACCGGAAUUGAAUGUAUCUAUUUGAAUUUUGAAUAAAAGUUGUUCGAAUAUCUAAAAAUCGAUUCUUCAUAUAAGAGAAACAAAAUCUCAAAAAAAAAUAAUCAUUUUCAUCUUGUCUUUAUUGGCCAGUUCAAAACAAAAGAUAGAGGAUCAUAGCAACACAUUUUUGCAUAAAAAUAAUCAUGUAUAGCCCUGCCAAUACUGAGAUAGGGGUGACCAUAUUUCAAAGAAGACAGGGAGAGAUGGAGUGUAGCGGCUGAUGAGAAGUAGGUUUUAGGAGGUUUUGUUUUGAGAAAUCUAAUAUAACCUAAUACUAAAGGGCUUCUAGGUAUUGGAAUUAACUUUGGACAACUUUUGGGCUGCGUUUUGGAACAAAGAAGAUGAGCCAAUUGACCGAAUAGUUUAAAACUUUUUUGGUCAAAUUUUGUCAUUUUUUUCCUUUAUGUUAAUUAAUUUGAGCUUCUAAUUUAGUACCUUUUAUAUUAUAUAAAAUGUUUCAAAUGUACGAAAUUUGAAAUAAAGCAACAAUGAUCUUUAUAAAGAAAAAAACAAUAGGUAAUAAUAGUAAUGUUGAGAAUGAAAAAUAUAAUUUAAAAUUAAUGAAAAUAAUGAUAAAAUGAUGAUAAUUAUAAAAAUUAUAAAGUUAGAGUAACAACUAUGUGCAAUGGAGGCUUUAUUUAAGAUCACAAACAUAUAUAAUAACAUAAUAAUGUAAAUUGCACUACUCUAUUUGAUUUUAAUGUUUACCACUACACAAAUCAAACUUUUGAAAUAUAUGAUAGAAUAGGAUAAAGAUUUUUAUUUUAUAAAUAUCGUUAAAGUUUCAUAAUGAAUACAAGUACUUUAUGUCCUUGGGUUGGUCAAUUACACUAACAGUUGGCUGGAUGGAGCAAAAUCAUAUACAUAUUUCCUCCCCCUAGAAAGAUACAUCAAAACAAUAUGCAUGAUUAUAAACCUGCUAAACUCAAAAGUAAGAUGGUAAAUGAAAAGGAAUUUGUUAAGAAGUGUGUUAGAUGAUUCUAAUGGAGGUACAUACCUACAAAGGAGAGGUUUGCAGGUUCAAUAUCAUGCAUAUUAAUUUGGUCUAUAUUUCUAAGGCUGAAGACUCCAUUCACCAAACUCUUAUUCUAAUAAAUCAACCCGGGGACAAAAAAUAUAAUUUGUAUUCAUUAGGGAACUCCACUGAAAACUGAAAAAGACACAACAUAAAAAAGUCAACUAUCCUAUUUAAUAAUAUAUCUCUAUAAAAUUAUAUGUGUUUAUAAUAAAAGUAGAAUCGAUAUAUACAUAUAUUAUAAGAGUUUAUAACGUCACAUUA